rnacentral:rRNA from 1 species
AUUGAACGCUGGCGGCAGGCCUAACACAUGCAAGUCGAGAGAACGGAGGACGGGUGAGUAAUGUAUGGGGACUGCCCGAUAGAGGGGGAUAACUACGGGACACGGUAGCUAAUAACGCAUACUAUCGGAUAACCCAUAUGGGAUUGGCUAUUAGGUGGGGUAAUGGAUCACCUAGGCGACGAUCCCUAGCUGGUCAGAGAGGAUGAUGCGCCACACUGGGACUGAGACACGGCCCAGACUCCUACGGAGGCAGCAGUGGGGAAUAUUGCACAAUGGGCGCAAGCCUGAUGCAGCCAUGCCGCGUGUAUGAAGAAGGCCCUAGGGUUGUAAAGUACUUUCAGUCGGGAGGCGUUACCGACAGAAGAAGCACCGGCUAACUCCGUGCCAGCAGCCGCGGUAAUUC